GAUAAGUCUCCUACUCCACGAUCC
rnacentral:siRNA from 1 species